GUAAGGAAUAUUGGUCAAUGGACGAAAGUCUGAACCAGCCAUGCCGCGUGAAGGAUGAAGGCCCUCUGGGUUGUAAACUUCUUUUAUCUGGGACGAAAAAAGGGUAUUCUUACUCACUUGACGGUACCAGAGGAAUAAGCACCGGCUAACUCCGUGCCAGCAGCCGCGGUAAUACGGAGGGUGCAAGCGUUAUCCGGAUUCACUGGGUUUAAAGGGUGCGUAGGUGGGUAUUUAAGUCAGUGGUGAAAUCUCCGAGCUUAACUAGGAAACUGCCAUUGAUACUAUUUACCUUGAAUGCCCUGGAGGUAAGCGGAAUAUGUCAUGUAGCGGUGAAAUGCUUAGAUAUGACAUAGAACACCAAUUGCGAAGGCAGCUUACUACGGGGUGAUUGACACUGAGGCACGAAAGCGUGGGGAGCAAACAGGAUUAGAUACCCGAGUAGUCC
rnacentral:rRNA from 1 species